ensembl:lncRNA
GCUCUCAAUGAACAUGACUGUAUGGGAAACCUGUGAAAUAUCAGGCUGAUGUCUACAAAUGCUCCUUAUCAGGGCGAUAAUGAAGAAAAAGCUGAUGAACACUGACAUAUGCCUCUCUCUAAUUGCAAAUACUACAACACGGGUUGCUAUCACAUCUUCCCACAGUUUAAAACCUCUCAACAUUUCCCUAUUACAGACAAUCCCUUACUAAAUCACAAACUCAUUAGUCUAAUAUCCAAGGCUCCAUAUGCUCUCAAAACAAUCCACUUAUUUAGCUUUCUUUUUCAAUCCCAUUUUAUAACUCUCCUGUUUCAGAAAACUAAUCUUAUCAUUUCUUAAAUUUCCUUGCCCCUCUGCCUUUGUUUACACUGGUCCCUCCAUCUAAGAACAAGUUCACUCUUUUAUUCUCUCUUCCAUUCCUCCUCCCAAAUUUUAUCUUUCAAGGCCUGGUUCAAACAUCACUUCUUCAAGGUUCCCCACACUCAUGAGAGUAAUCCAAGAGAUCAGCCUUCCCUUUGAACGUCUAACCAGUCAGUAAUGCUUACUUUCACUUUACUUGGAAUUAAAAUUAUUUAGGACUCUCACAACUACCAGUUAAGUUGUGAAAAAAAGAAUUGUUUUGCAGAAUUCUGUAAGUCCCAAUGAUCUAACAUAGUAUUUUGAACAUAAUAAAUACUCAGUUUUUUCAACUGAAAGAAAUUAUCCUUCAUUGCUUUUUUGGGAAGGAAAGUAUACUUUUUGUCACAUCUUGAUCCCUGAGUCAAUAUGGCAGUUUGCUUGAAUCCUUAAUGAACUGUUGCCUUCUCAUAAGUGGUGAUGACCACAAACCAUUGGUUAUGUUAUUGUGGCUAUCUAAAGUUAUCUAAAGUAAUAUACAAAUGGCGCUGUCUCAGGGAGAUAGGUACUUGCACUGCUCGAUGCCCUCUUGGUUAUCCAGGUGUUUUCUAUUUCUUCCAGUGCCAGAGUGGCUUGUGUUGAAUCUGGAAAGACAGAUGCCUUAGCAAUUGCUAAUAGACCCCUUAAUGCACGGAUGAUGACAGUAUGGUAAUAACUUCUUGAGUUCCUUUGAUUAGUGAUAGUUUCCUAGCCAGUUUCAGUUAAGGGACUAGCCUUCCAGGGGAGCUUUUCUGCAGCAGAUCAAGUAAACAGCAAGCACAUUCUGCAUGCUGAAUCAGUUGGGAGUAGUUGGUCAAUGAUUCAGAAGAAAGAAAUACUUCUUUCUGAUUUUCAAAAUGUCUGAAGCUUAGUUAGGGAAAAAAACAUCACUUUAAAAAAGUCUUUUUGAAAUCACACAGUUUAGGACUGGCAGAGCUUGGAACACCAAUCUGAUUUUAGAGAU